rnacentral:rRNA from 1 species
GAUGAACGCUGGCGGCGUGCCUAAUACAUGCAAGUCGAGCGAACAGAUGAGGAGCUUGCUCCUCUGACGUUAGCGGCGGACGGGUGAGUAACACGUGGAUAACCUACCUAUAAGACUGGGAUAACUUCGGGAAACCGGAGCUAAUACCGGAUAAUAUAUUGAACCGCAUGGUUCAAUAGUGAAAGACGGUUUUGCUGUCACUUAUAGAUGGAUCCGCGCCGCAUUAGCUAGUUGGUAAGGUAACGGCUUACCAAGGCAACGAUGCGUAGCCGACCUGAGAGGGUGAUCGGCCACACUGGAACUGAGACACGGUCCAGACUCCUACGGGAGGCAGCAGUAGGGAAUCUGCCGCAAUGGGCGAAAGCCUGACGGAGCAACGCCGCGUGUGUGAUGAAGGUCUUCGGAUCGUAAAACUCUGUUAUUAGGGAAGAACAAAUGUGUAAGUAACUAUGCACGUCUUGACGGUACCUAAUCAGAAAGCCACGGCUAACUACGUG